GUGGGGAAUAUUGGACAAUGGGGGGAACCCUGAUCCAGCCAUGCCGCGUGUGUGAAGAAGGCCUUUUGGUUGUAAAGCACUUUAAGCGAGGAGGAGGCUACCGAGAUUAAUACUCUUGGAUAGUGGACGUUACUCGCAGAAUAAGCACCGGCUAACUCUGUGCCAGCAGCCGCGGUAAUACAGAGGGUGCAAGCGUUAAUCGGAUUUACUGGGCGUAAAGCGCGCGUAGGUGGCCAAUUAAGUCAAAUGUGAAAUCCCCGAGCUUAACUUGGGAAUUGCAUUCGAUACUGGUUGGCUAGAGUAUGGGAGAGGAUGGUAGAAUUCCAGGUGUAGCGAUGAAAUGCGUAGAGAUCUGGAGGAAUACCGAUGGCGAAGGCAGCCAUCUGGCCUAAUACUGACACUGAGGUGCGAAAGCAUGGGGAGCAAACAGGAUUAGAAACCCGGGUAGUCC
rnacentral:rRNA from 1 species